rnacentral:rRNA from 1 species
GUUUCCGGCAUCGUUACUUUGAAGAAAUUAGAGUGCUCAAAGCAAGCCAUCGCUCUGGAUACAUUAGCAUGGAUAACAUCAUAGGAUUCCGGUCCUAUUGUGUUGGCCUUCGGGAUCGGAGUAAUGAUUAAUAGGGACAUUCGGGGGCAUUCAUAUUUCAUAGUCAGAGGCAUGUGUGCUGAGAAUUUGAAGAUCACGACUGUUGCAUGGACAAAUGAGCACACACACACAAACAUCCAGACACUGUCCAAC